CGGGGACGAGUUUGCAGGAACGAGGCUGCGCUAGCUCCGGCUUCACCGCGGCGCUCCUCUCGGUUCCGACUGCGCCCCGGCUCCGCCCCGGCCCCCGAUUGGCCCGCGCGGAGGGGGCGGGGCGCCGACAGGAGGAAGCCCCAGGGGACAAAAAGGGAAGAGAAGACUGCUGCGGGUCCCUCCCCACAGCUCCAGUGUGAGGUGACCCUUAUAUUGAGGCAGCACCGGGGCGUUCAUACGGGGAGCACCUAGGCCUCCAUCAACACCACUCCAUCCCCAAAUAAGCCUCAGGGGUGUUUCCAGUGUCUUACGCAGCCAUGUUCUUGAACCCCACAUCGACUGAAGCCCUCUAUCAGAUACAAGUGGGCCUUUUCCGGAUUUAAUCCCCUCAGGUGUUGUUGUGGGAUCCACUUAAACGCAACAUAACUCAAACACCAGGUCAAUGCAGGUGACAAAAAUUUAUUGUAAUCAAGCCGAUGCUUGAUCCACACAGGACAGACACGGGAACUGAGCUACGACCCCAAAACCCUGAAGGGACGUUGUUCGGCAGGAAUAUUUAAAGGAUGAAACUAUAAGGCAAGGGGGUGCAGGGUGGGCUGCAGCACUGUCCAAUCGUAUUUUGACAUAAGGGGUUGAGCAAUGGAAUUUCCAUCAGUCAGGAUAGGAGUAGGUUCCUAGGCCUGGGGUUGUGCCAGCAAGAUGGAGAAGUUGUCCUUGAAAAGGCUGGACGCAGACAAUUGUCUCCUUACAAGUAGUCCCUGAGAUGUCUGGACUCAGACAACUGUCUCCUUACAACAGAAGCUGUUCGGCUGUUGGGAAGUCCCCAGCUCCCUUGGGGCCUGGGACCUUGAGUUUAGUUUCUCCCUAGGAUUAAAUGGAGUCUGAAAUGAAAUGGUCGUACUUAGAAUAAGUGUCCUUUGCCUGUUCCCAACAAUGAAAAGCUAAAGCUUUUCAGCUAAAGCUGAAGCUAUUUUCUGUCACCCUCAGCACAAUAGAGCCACCGGCUCCAACACUUGGCCCGUGCUCUCCUAGAAGGGGGAAAGCAAAUGGGGCCACACCCUCAGAUCCUUGACCUUGGCCAAGGUUUUCCCUAGAAUCGUAGAAAGUGGACCUGGCUGAGUUUGGAAGCGAUAGGGGUGGACUUCCAUGCCUGAGGGCCUGAUUGAUGUCCCUGUCUGGUGUCAAGAAAUGCUGGCACAGCCUGGGCAUUCUAGAAAAAGAUCACCAACACAGACCUCCCAGGAAGAGAUAAAAGGAUAGAGAAAGCCAGCCAGGUCACUAAACAUACCCAUGCAUUAUGCAUUCAUUUUCUCUCUGGUCUUGACUGUGGAUGUGAUGGGGCGAAGGAAUUUAAGUUCUUGCUGCCUUGGCUUUUCUGCUGUGAAAGGCUGUAACCUGGACUUGUGAGCUGAAACAGACCCUUUCCCCUCUGAGUUAUGUUUUGUUUUUAUAUUGUGGGAACCGAACUCUGGGCCUCAUGCAUUCGACCACUGAGAUACACCCCAACCUCCCUUGAGUUGAUUUUUAGCAAGGGUAUUUUUGUCACAGCCACUGAAAUGACCCUAGGGCCACAGGUGGGUAUCAAAUUUGUAUACCUUGGGAUUGGAUUAAGUUAAAAACACACUUAUCUCAUUUGUAUACAGAUUUGCUUUCCUCUUUAAUAAAUGGUAAGAUGAUGCAUAUAAUGAA